rnacentral:misc_RNA from 1 species
GUAGGUGAACCUGCGGAAGGAUCAUUACCGAGUGAGGGCCCUCUGGGUCCAACCUCCCACCCGUGUUUAUCGUACCUUGUUGCUUCGGCGGGCCCGCCUUUACGGCCGCCGGGGGGCUCACGCCCCCGGGCCCGCGCCCGCCGAAGACACCCACGAACUCUGUCUGAAGAUUGUCGUCUGAGUAAAAAUAUAAAUUAUUUAAAACUUUCAACAACGGAUCUCUUGGUUCCG